AAAGAAAGCGUAAUAGCUCACUGGUCGAGUCGGCCUGCGCGGAAGAUGUAACGGGGCUAAACCAUGCACCGAAGCUGCGGCAGCGACGCUUAGGCGUUGUUGGGUAGGGGAGCGUUCUGUAAGCCGUUGAAGGUGUCCUGUGAGGGGUGCUGGAGGUAUCAGAAGUGCGAAUGCUGACAUAAGUAACGAUAAAGCGGGUGAAAAGCCCGCUCGCCGGAAGACCAAGGGUUCCUGUCCAACGUUAAUCGGGGCAGGGUGAGUCGACCCCUAAGGC
rnacentral:rRNA from 1 species